UACGGGGGGGGCAAGCGUUGUUCGGAAUUACUGGGCGUAAAGGGCUCGUAGGCGGCCAACUAAGUCGGAUGUGAAAUCCCCAGGCUUAACCUGGGAACUGCAUCUGAUACUGGAUGGCUUGAAUCCGGGAGAGGGAUGCAGAAUUCCAGGUGUAGCGGUGAAAUGCGUAGAUAUCUGGAGGAAUACCGGUGGCGAAGGCGGCAUCCUGGACCGGCAUUGACGCUGAGGAGCGAAAGCUAGGGGAGCAAACGGG
rnacentral:rRNA from 1 species